UUCCAAGUGCGCUUGCGCACAGGCUGCGCGGGAAAAGGCGCGGCGCGGCAGUGUGAGAGGCGGAGAUGGCUGUGAGGCGGUCGCUGGCGGCUUGCUCCGCGGAGUUCGGGAAGGACGAAGACGCCGUGCUGUUCCUAGAAAGAGCCCAUUACCGACAUGACCCGCGCUGGCUGCUGCCGGUGUCCCCACGCGUCUGCGUGGCCUGCAUGCUGGAGCUGCUGCCGGAGCCCGGCGUGUCGGUGGUGCGCAAGAAGCACGUGGUGUCCUGCUUCCGAGAUGCCCUUGUGAGGCAUGCCUCCUUGGUCACACAGCUGUUGGUUCAGGACCAGAGAGUCUGCAUCCAUUUCAUAAGCAUGCUUUUUGGACUGUUAUGCAGCGUGGAAGAUGGGAGUGUAACAGACCUCUGUAUUGAAGUCCUUGUCCAGCUUACCAUGCAGCUGAAGCUGGAACAGAUCAUCCACUGCCUGCUGGACGAGUGCCAGAAACAGCUGUGUAACAUGCCCUCCAUGCAAGGCAGCCUGGCCAUCCUGACCCUUCUUGGCAAGUUGGUGGAUGCCAUCCCUGUCCUGGCUGACGAACUUGUAAAGGAGCAUGGUUUGCUGAGGCACCUGCUGAAGUAUGAUCUCUUUGUGUCCAUGAUCAUGAACAAGUUCAUGCUGGCAGGAAAUGCUGAGAGUGUCAAGGGAUCAUCAGGAGAGCUCUCACUGCCUUUGGUGCUCAAAAAGGUAAUUGUCUUACAGUUUUUUUUUUUUUUUUUUUUUUUCAGUACAGGGGAUUCAACUCAGGGCCUUUGCACUGAGCUACAUCUCCUGUCUUGUGAUUCUUGGUCUCUAGGUUCAAUAACAAGAGAACUCAGGUGCUUCUUGGACCUUGUUCUCAUCUACCAUUCUUUUUAUCAGGUUUCCAAAAGUAUCUUCUUACUGACCAAAAUAAUAUGCUAUCAAGCCAGCCAUGGUGGUAUACGCUUGUAAUCUUAGCACUGGGAAGCUCAGGCAGGAGGAUCAUUGUGAGUUUGAAGCCAGCCUGGGUUACAUAGUGAGUUCAAGGCCAGCCUGAUUUACAUAGUGAGAUCCUAUCAACAAAACAAAGCAAAACAAAACCAGCCCUGAAAUUGGGAGGUAUUUUACUGUCAAUGGUAUAUCAUAAUUUAAUUGGUACAUAAUAUAAUACUUUGCUUUACAUCAGUAGUAUCUUAGUGUAAAAUACAAAAUGUUAUUUCCUUUAGAAAAGAGAACAAGAUAAAAAUAUC
rnacentral:lncRNA from 1 species